UUACGACCAUAACGCGUUGAAACACCGGUUCCCGUACCGAAGUUAAGCAACGUCGAGCCUGGUCACUACCUAGAUGGAUGAUCGCUUAGGAAUACCAGGUGUUGUAA